GACGUAGGGCGCGAGCGUUGUCCGGAUUUAUUGGGCGUAAAGAGCUCGUAGGCGGUUUGUCGCGUCUGCUGUGAAAACCGGAGGCUCAACCUCUGGCCUGCAGUGGGUACGGGCAGACUAGAGUGCGGUAGGGGAGAUUGGAAUUCCUGGUGUAGCGGUGGAAUGCGCAGAUAUCAGGAGGAACACCGAUGGCGAAGGCAGAUCUCUGGGCCGUAACUGACGCUGAGGAGCGAAAGCAUGGGGAGCGAACAGG
rnacentral:rRNA from 1 species